ensembl:lncRNA
GGGGGCAUCUGUGGGGCAGGAGGGGGGUCUGGUGGAAUCUGUGGGGCAGGAGAGGGAUCUGUGGGGCAGGAGGGGGGUCUGGUGGGAUCUGUGGGGCAGGAGAAAGAUCUAUGGGGGGAUCUGUGGGGCAGGAGAGGGAUCUGUGGGGCAGGAGGGGGUUCUGGUGGGAUGUGUGGGGCAGGAGAAAGAUCUAUGGGGAGCUCUGUGGGGCAGGAAGUGGACCUGGUGGGAUCUAUGGGGCAGGAGGGGGGGUCCGCUGGGAUCUAUGGGGCAGGAGGGAGGCUCUAUGGAGGAUCUGUGGGGCCGGAGGGGGGUCUAUGGGAGGAUCUAUGGGGCAGGAAGGGGGCCCGGGGACAUCUGUGGGGCAGGAAGGGGGUCUGGUGGAAUCUGUGGGGCAGAAGAGGGAUCUGUGGGGCAGGAGGAGGGUCUGGUGGGAUGUGUGGGGCAGGAGAAGGCUCUGUGGGGCAGGAGGGGAGGGUCUGGUGGGAUCUGUGGGGCAGAAGGAGGAUCUACGGGAGGAUCUAUGGGGCAGGAGGGAGGGUCUGGUGGGAUCUAUGGGGCAGGAGGGGGGGUCCGGUGGGAUCUAUGGGGCAGGAGGGAGGCUCUAUGGAGGAUCUGUGGGGCCGGAGGGGGCUCUGUGGGGCAGGAGGGGAGUCUAUGGGAGGAUCUAUGGGGCAGGAAGGGGGCCCCGGGACAUCUGUGGGGCAGGAGGGGGGUCUGGUGGGAUCUAUGGGGCAGGAGAAAGAUCUAUGGGGGGCUCUGUGGGGCAGGAGGAGGGUCUGGCGGGAUCUAUGGGGCAGGAGAAAGAUCUAUGGGGGGAUCUGUGGGGCAGGAAGGGGACCUGGUGGGAUCUAUGGGGCAGGAGGGGGAUCCGUGGGGGAAUGUGUGGGUCCCAGCGCCCCCCUUGUGCCCCACGGCAGCGGCUGUGGGCGCUGCGCUGGCUGCAGAGGGCGGCGGACGGAGCCCAGCGCAUCCAGGGGGAGCAGCCGCUGCUGGGUGAGCCCCACAACUGUGACCCAUAAGUGCGCCCCAUAACCGUGACCCAUAAGUGUGCCCCAUGACCCUGACCCAUAACUGCGACCCACAACUGUGACCCAUAAGUGCGCCCCAUAACUGUGACCCAUGACCGUGACCCAUAAGUGCGCCCCAUAACCGUGACCCAUAAUUGUGACCCAUAACCGUGACCCAUAGCUGCGCCCCAUGACCGUGACCCAUAACUGCGCCCCAUAACCGUGACCCAUAAGUGCGCCCCAUAACCGUGACCCAUAACCGUGACCCAUAAGUGCGCCCCAUAACCGUGACCCAUAAGUGCGCCCCAUAAGUGCGCCCCAUAACCGUGACCCAUAAGUGCGCCCCAUAACCAUGACCCAUAACCAUGACCCAUAACUGCGCCCCAUAACUGUGACCCAUAACCGUGACCCAUGACCCUGACCCAUAACUGUGACCCAUAACUGUGAGCCAUGACCGUGACCCAUAACUGCGCCCCAUGACCGUGACCCACAACUGCGCCCCAUAACCGUGACCCAUAACCGCGCCCCAUAACCGUGACCCAUAACCGCGCCCCAUAACCACCUCCCCCACCCCAUAACUCCAGUACGAACCCCAUAAC